rnacentral:lncRNA from 1 species
ACCUCCUGUCCCUCUCGGAUGCUGUUAGGGCGCCAAGCCGUGAUGCUGCGAACUGGCAAAUAGGGGGAGGUAGAAAGCACGUGUCCCGGCUUUCCUGCGGGAACUUUCUCACCCAGCCGAGCAGCUCACGGGAGAAAGCUCUUUCCAGAGGAUCUCCAGCGAGUAAACGCAGAAGGAGUGAUGGGAUCCGAAGAUCACCGUUUUGCAAACCUUCAGGAAACGCCAGAGGGGGAGGUCUGGACACCGUGUGGAGACAGCUGUGGGAUGCAUCUGCACACUGAGGAGCCAUGAUGGCUGUGGGACGCCCAGAAGCUGGGGGAGGCCUGGAGCAGCCUCUCCCUUACAGCCUCAGGGGGAAUCAGCCUGCUGUGAGAUAAUAAAUGUCUGUUGUUUAAGCCCCCA